GGAUUGGGAGGGUUCUACGGAACCCGUUUGGUGAAUCUAGUGCCGAGAAAAGCCUUCUAUGUGUUGAAUUUCUAGUACCCGUACCCCAAACCGACACAGGUGGGUGGGUAGAGCAUACCUAGGGGCGCGUGAUAACUCUCUCUAAGGAACUCGGCAAAAUGGCCCUGUAACUUCGGGAUAAGGGGUGCCUGCGUGAGCAGGCCGCAGUGAAAUGGCUCUGGCGACUGUUUACCAAAAACACAGGUCUCUGCUAAGUCGUAAGACGAUGUAUAGGGGCUGACUCCUGCCCAGUGCCGGAAGGUUAAGGAAGUUGGUUAGCGCAAGCGAAGCUGGCGACCGAAGCCCCGGUGAACGGCGGCCGUAACUAUAACGGUCCUAAGGUAGCGAAAUUCCUUGUCGGGUAAGUUCCGACCCGCACGAAAGGAGUAACGAUCAGAGCGCUGUCUCGGAGAGAGACACGGCGAAAUAGGAUUGUCCGUGAAGAUACGGACUACCUGCACCCGGACAGAAAGACCCUAUGAAGCUUUACUGUAACUUGGAAUUGUGUUCGGACUUUGUCUGCGCAGAAUAGGUGGGAGGCUAUGAAACGUUCCUCGCGGGGAACUGGAGCCAUCGUUGAGAUACCACUCUGGCAGAGUCUGGAUUCUAACCUACGGGGACAGUUCCAGGUGGGCAGUUUGACUGGGGCGGUCGCCUCCUAUAAUGUAACGGAGGCGCGCAAAGGUUCCCUCAGGCUGGUUGGAAAUCAGCCAUAGAGUGUAAAAGCAUAAGGGAGCUUGACUGUGAGACCUACAAGUCGAGCAGGGACGAAAGUCGGCUUUAGUGAUCCGACGGCACUGAGUGGAAGGGCCGUCGCUCAACGGAUAAAAGUUACUCUAGGAUAACAGGCUGAUCUCCCCCAAGAGUUCACAUCGACGGGGAGGUUUGGCACCUCGAUGUCGGCUCGUCGCAACCUGGGGCGGUAGUACGUCCCAAGGGUUGGGCUGUUCGCCCAUUAAAGCGGCACGUGAGCUGGGUUCAGAACGUCGUGAGACAGUUCGGUCCAUAUCCGGUGUAGGCGUAGGAGCAUUGAAAGGAUCUCUCCUUAGUACGAGAGGACCGGGAGGGACGUACCUCUGGUGUACCUGUUAUCGUGCCAACGGUAAACGCAGGGUAGCCAUGUACGGAGUGGAUAACCGCUGAAAGCAUCUAAGUGGGAAGCCCACCUUAAGAUGAGUGCUCCCUUGAGGCCACGGGAAGACGACCCGUUUGAUAGGCGCUAGGUGGAAGUGCAGUAAUGCAUGCAGCCGAGGCGUACUAAUAGGCCGAUGGCUUGUCC
rnacentral:rRNA from 1 species